rnacentral:rRNA from 1 species
GAUGAACGCUGGCGGCGUGCCUAAUACAUGCAAGUCGAGCGAACAGACGCGGAGCUUGCUCCUCUGACGUUAGCGGCGGACGGGUGAGUAACACGUGGAUAACCUACCUGUAAGACUGGUAAAACUUCGGGAAACCGGCGCUAAUAGCGGAGAACAUGCUGAAGCACAUGGUUCAACGGAAAAAGACGGUUUUGGUGUCUGUUAUAGCUGCAUUUGCGUCUCAUUAGCUAGUUGGUAAGGUAAUGGCUUAUCAAGGGAACGAUGCGUAUCCGACGGGAGAGCGUGAUAGGCCACAUUGGAACUGGACCAGGGUCCAGACUCCUACGGGACGCAGCAGUAGGCAAUCUGCCGCAAUGGGCGAAAGCCUGGCGGAGCAACGCCGCGUGAGUGAAAAAAGUCUUCGGAUCGUAAAGCUCUGUUAUUAGGUAAGAACCAAUGUGUAAGUAACUAUGCCCGUCUUGACGGUACCUAAUCAGAAAGCCACGGCUAACUACGUG